CUGUCUAUCACAGUAUAAAGAAUACUUUUUACAUACAUCUUGUCAUUUCCUUGUUCUGCCCUGCGUGGUAUUACAGUGAGCCCGUAUAUACGAAAGUUGCAUUUGCCAUUUAUUACUUAGCUAAUAAAAAAUACAUAGUAUACAAUCGGUGACUCAUUGUUAUAUUUAUCCUGAUACCAGAUUCGAAUUUACUCUAACAAGAGUAGGACUCGGGUUCAGGAGAGUAGGACUCGGGUUCAGGAAGGCAGGACUCGGGUUCAGGAGAGCAGGACUCUUGAUCAGGAGAGCAGGACUCUUGAUCAGGAGAGCAGGAUUCGGGUUCAGGAGAGCAGGACUCGGGUUCAGGAGAGCAGGACUCUUGAUCAGGAGAGCAGGACUCGGGUUCAGGAGAGUAGGACUCUGGUUCAGGAGAGCAGGACUCGGGUUCAGGAGAGCAGGACUCGGGUUCAGGAGAGCGAUUUGAACUAUGAGGAUUUCGACUCAGCCGACAAAGAUUGCUUUCAAGAAGGAUUGGGUCCACUUUUAGAUCUAGUGGAGGAUGCAGAGGAUUUGGAUGAUGACGUUUGGGAGCCACCCCACUCCAGUAAGCGCCCCCGAUGGUUAAGGUCUUCAUCCUCCACUGCUAUGUCAAUCACCCUGUCUGAUGGUUCUACAUCCACUUUUCAUAGACCUCUUGAAAAAUAAAAUAGGGGCUUGUGGCACCAUUCGUCCUAACAGAAUCAGAUUCCCCAAGACCCAGAGGGACUGCUUCAAAGACUAUCAAGACAUGCACAAGCUACGGUGAAAGGGAAAUCUAAUCAGCUACACCUGGGACGUAAAACGAACAGGAAUGCCAUUUGUAAAUAAUUCACCUUGUUUCUAUUUUUGCACCUUGAAGGACACAAUGUUUUGAUAAGGCAUUUUUAUAUAUAUUUGAAUGUAAAUCUGUUGCUUUUAUGUUGUUUUUGUAAACAGUUCAUUUGUAUGUGGGACCAAUACAUUGGAUAUGCCCAGGGUAAACAUUCAGGCACUGUGGAGAGGCUGAAAAAAACAACACUUGGAUAUCCCCUGUAUGUUCCCUUAACCAACAAUUCAGUUUAAGAAAAUAGAGUUAAGAAAAUAUUUACGAAAUAAACUAAAGUAAAUAUAAAUAACACAAAAUAGCAAUAAUGAGGCUAUAUACAGGGGUAACAGGUACCGAGUCAAUGUGUGUGUGUGGGGGGGGGGUGCAGGUAAGUCUAGGUCAUUUGUACGUAUAGGUAAGGGUAAAGGGACUAUGCAUAGAUAAUAAACAGCCACGAGCAGCAGUGUAAAAACACUUUUUCUUAAACCUUUAUUUAACCAGGAAAGGCCCAUCAAGACCCAGAGUUUCUUUUUCCAAGGAGACCUGGCCAAGAAGGAAGCAACAAUCAAUACAUGGCAUAAUUCUAAAAAUACAACAAAGCUCUGGCGAAGGCCGUGUGGCCGAUAUGUAAGCUUAUUAAAUAUAGGUGAUCCUAUCAA
ensembl:lncRNA